rnacentral:lncRNA from 1 species
GAUGAUUACUCUGGCAUCGUUGAUGGGAGUUGGAUUAAAAAGACAAGAAAAGCAGAAGCCUAUGUUCCAUGUGCAAGUCACAGAUUAAAUACAGAGCAAGGAUUGCAGAGAACACUUAGAAAGCCAUUCCAGUAUUGGAGAAUUAUGAGUUCUCUACAUUCGACAAGUAUUACCAAAAGUCUACUGGCAACAUCUGGACAAUUAAGCAGAUACAAGAAUAAAAAAGACAUAUGCUUUGUCCUCAAGCACUUAACAUUUAGCAGGCAAAAACAUAACUAUAGUCCAAAUGGGAGGUGAAAUUUGUUUCUUACAGGUGCUCAGUGGAAAAGAGAGAAGGAAUGUUAUCUUUGGGAUAUCCAAACAGUGUUUUCCAUAUUUAAUCUUCAUGACAGACUUGCAAAAG